CUGGCGUAUAAAUUCUCUCGGAGGUAAGAAUAAUUCAACAGUGAAUGACGGGAUUCCAUUCAAUAGAUGUUUCCUCCCUUGACAUUUGUACCAUUCUGACGUUCGGGCCACGUGGUACCGCUAGUUUCUGUUAUGAACUUUUGCAUAAAUCCUAUGGUAAAAUAGAUGGAUUAUGUUGGAAGAAUGCCUUAAGGGGGGAUAAGUAGGUGUUCUGUCAGCUGUGUCUGCUAUUGCUAAGAGCUGUCCUUUGGCGUUGGUUUUCUGUUCUUCCAUGACGUAGGGCUACAAGGUGCUUGCCAGAUUUUGUUGGUUCGAAGUUCAUUCUGUGAUCAUGAUCGUCUUUUAUGGUUCCUCCUGUUCCAUGGGGCCGUUCUGCCUGCUGCUGCUGUGACGUGGUCUUUGUGAUUAGUCAGGUGUGGAGUCUAUUGCUUUACCGGGCUUCAUUAUGCAGUUCGGGCAGUCUCGUCACAGUUUUAAAGGGAUGGUUGGUGCGUUUCCAUCUUGUUUACCCAUCUGCAGCUCGGGCAUACAGCAUUCCGACUGAACGGUGUUGGGCGGUUCUAUCGUGGGAUUGGAGACGAAACUGGCUACAUACUGGGAUCUUACAAUGAUAGGUUCUGAAAUGCAGUGGCUUCUCCGUUUCCCGUGUAGAACGUCUCCGUUUCCCGUGUAGAACGUCUCCGUUUCCCGUGUAGAACGUCUCCGUCUCCCGUGUAGAACGUCUCCGUCUCCCGUGUAGAACGUCUCCGUCUCCCGUGUAGAACGUCUCCGUCUCCCGUGUAGAACGUCUCCGUCUCCCGUGUAGAACGUCUCCGUCUCCCGUGUAGAACGUCUCCGUCUCCCGUGUAGAACGUCUCCGUCUCCCGUGUAGAACGUCUCCGUCUCCCGUGUAGAACGUCUCCGUCUCCCGUGUAGAACGUCUCCGUCUUGCUGAAUACUUUGUACUGGUGUUUGUUUAUUACUGCAUUUAGCACACCUUUUAUGAUUUUAUACACAGUUGUCAAGUUAA